rnacentral:snRNA from 1 species
GUGCUCACUUUGCAGUACGUAUACUAAAGUCAGACUGAUACAGAGAAGAUUGCACGGCCUCUGUGAAGGAUGACACACAAAUUCAUGAAGCGUUU